GAGACAGUGUUAAGGAGGAGACACCAUAAGCUCUGUCCUCCUGUCCUUUCUUACCACACCAUGUGGAAGAACAGAUAUGCUCAGCUGUACCUUUUUUCAGUUCUUCUUGCCUUCCUGCCUUCUGCAUCUUCACUCAAUGGAGACCCGAAGUAUAUGGUGCUGGUCCCUUCUCAGCUCUACACUGAGACCCCUGAGAAAAUCUGCUUCCAUCUAUACCAUCUGAAUGAGACAGUGACCGUCACAGCUUCCUUGGUGUCUCAAUCAAGAUGGAGAAACCUGUUCGAUGAGCAUAUCACAGAUUUCUUGGUAUCUCAAUUGGAAAGGAGAAACCUGUUCGAUGAGCUUGUGGUUGACAAGGACUUGUUCCAAUGUGUUUCCUUCAUUAUCCCUACACUCAACUCUCCUGAUGAGGAGGAGUUUCUCUACGUGGACAUCAAAGGGCCAACCCACGAAUUCAGCAAAAGGAAAGCAGUGCUUGUGAAGAACAAAGAAAGUGUUGUCUUUGUCCAGACAGAUAAGCCCGUGUACAAACCAGGACAAUCAGUUAAAUUUCGGGUUGUCUCUAUGGAUAAAACUCUACACCCCCUGAAUGAGUUGCUCCCUCUGGCUUACAUUGAGGAUCCGAAAAAGAACCGAAUUAUGCAGUGGAGGGAUAUUAAGACUGAGAAUGGGCUUAAGCAAAUGUCCUUCAGCCUGGCAGCAGAGCCCAUUCAGGGCCCCUACAAGAUAGUGGUGCACAAACAGUCAGGGGAGAUGGAAGAACACUCCUUUACUGUGUUGGAAUUUGGUAUGAAUUGGGAAGACCAUCAAGAAAAAGCAAGUCUCAGGAUUCUGGUUAUCAUAGGAUGAAUUACUUUGUACAAAUUGAGUUCCAUCUGACUCUAGCUAAGGCUAUCCAUCUAGCAACAUGGGAAUUCUAGAAAGUUCUGGGAUUUUUCAAAAGCAAAUUACUUGUUUUAUUUUGUUUUUUUGUUUGUUCAUUUUUUUUACUUAAGUAGAUAUCCCUGUGAUUUUCAAGAAGUGAUAUAAUGUAUAGCCACUCAUCAUUCUAACUUUAUUGGGAUGGGUCAUGCCUUAAUAAUGUGAAAUGACCAUUUCUGGGCAGAGAGUGAUCACUUAGGCAACUAGACAAUUAGGUCCACUCCUGAGUGUCUCCUCUCUCUCACAAUAGUGCUUCCCAGAUUUAAUGUCGACCUGAAGGUUCCAAAUGCCAUCUCUGUGAAUGAUGAAGUGCUCCAAGUGACUGCAUGUGGGAAAUAUACCUAUGGGAAGCCUGUUCCAGGACAGGUGAAGAUAAGUAUCUGCCAUGAGACUGAAGCUGGAUGCAAAGAAGUCAAUUCCAAGGUGAGUGAAUCCAUUCUAAGGCCUGUUUUAAAUAUCCAAGACUGUCUAACAGGAAUGCAGACAGCAAAGAGAAGAGAACACACAUACCCACACAUUGAAAGAAGAUGUUCUGGGACCUUGGGCUGUAGCCCAGGGAUGGAACACUAGCCAGGCUUGUGUGCAAACCCCAGAAACACAUCUAAGCCCCUCACUGACAAAAGAGAUAAUUCUGGGAUCCACUACUAUUAAAGGAAUAUUUCAACAACUUUA
rnacentral:lncRNA from 1 species